AUUUUACAUGAGAGUUCUCAGUGGGUCUUUUCAAACUGGAGACUCAUGAUCAUGACAAUCUGCUUUGAAGCCGACCAAAUGGGAUUUCUGAGAAGGAAGUUACAGUAAAUUGAGAAAUAUCAUCGGAGCAUGGAGAACGGUGGGCUCGGAGGCCCGUGCUGGGAGCCACAGCUCAGUGUGGCACCCAGGCCACCUGCACCCUGGGCUCGGGGUCUCCUCCAUCCUGCAUGUGCCUGCUCUGUGUCCAGCUGGUGGGCAUCGGCUAUUCCUCAAGAAACCUAGCUUGGUCCACUCCUGUUGGACCAGGCUCUCCGCAUCUCCCUGGGCCUCCUCCUUCGGCAGGGGACAGGUCUGUGCUCCCUGGCUAACUCCAACUGACCUCCUUCCGGCCCUGCCUAGGCUCCUUGCAGGCAUCUGUGCCCCCACCUGAGCAUACCCAGAGCUGCAGCAACGGAAACUCCUUCCUCCAGGAGCCUCGGUGGGACCAAUGUGCACCUUCUUCCUCUUCAUCCUUCUCUACCCUGGGGUUCCAGCAC
rnacentral:lncRNA from 1 species